rnacentral:rRNA from 1 species
UACGGGGGGGGCAAGCGUUGUUCGGAAUUACUGGGCGUAAAGGGCUCGUAGGUGGCCAACUAAGUCAGACGUGAAAUCCCUCGGCUUAAUCGGGGAACUGCGUCUGAUACUGGAUGGCUUGAGUUCGGGAGAGGGAUGCGGAAUUCCAGGUGUAGCGGUGAAAUGCGUAGAUAUCUGGAGGAACACCGGUGGCGAAGGCGGCAUCCUGGACCGACACUGACACUGAGGAGCGAAAGCGUGGGGAGCGAACAGG